rnacentral:rRNA from 1 species
CCUACGGGCGGCAGCAGUGGGGGAUAUUGCACAAUGGGGGGAACCCUGAUGCAGCGACGCCGCGUGGGUGAAGAAGCGCCUCGGCGCGUAAAGCCCUGUCAGCAGGGAAGAAAAUGACGGUACCUGACUAAGAAGCCCCGGCUAACUACGUGCCAGCAGCCGCGGUAAUACGUAGGGGGCAAGCGUUAUCCGGAUUUACUGGGUGUAAAGGGAGCGUAGGCGGCGAUGCAAGUCAGAAGUGAAAGCCCGGGGCUCAACUCCGGGACUGCUUUUGAAACUGUGUUGCUAGAUUGCAGGAGAGGUAAGUGGAAUUCCUAGUGUAGCGGUGAAAUGCGUAGAUAUUAGGAGGAACACCAGUGGCGAAGGCGGCUUACUGGACUGUAAAUGACGCUGAGGCUCGAAAGCGUGGGGAGCAAACAGGAUUAGAUACCCGAGUAGUC